UACGUAGGGUGCGAGCGUUGUCCGGAAUUAUUGGGCGUAAAGAGCUCGUAGGCGGUUUGUUGCGUCUAUCGUGAAAACCUGCAGCUUAACUGUGGGCGUGCGGGCGAUACGGGCAGACUGGAGUACUGCAGGGGAGACUGGAAUUCCUGGUGUAGCGGUGGAAUGCGCAGAUAUCAGGAGGAACACCGGUGGCGAAGGCGGGUCUCUGGGCAGUAACUGACGCUGAGGAGCGAAAGCGUGGGGAGCGAACAGG
rnacentral:rRNA from 1 species